rnacentral:lncRNA from 1 species
UCCUGAGAGUAUCAGAAUCAAAGACUUCAAGACAGGGCAAGCACUCUGCUAGCAACUAAUAAGCACUGUUAGUUCAAUUCUCAUGCACGGCUUUCAAGUAAAAAACACAAUUAGAUCGAACUCGAAUCGACCAAAAAUCAAAUUACAAAGAACAGGAAUCUGAUAUACUAAAAUCUCCCCGCAAAAGUUGGUGUUUUGUGGCCUCAAAAGGGUAGGAAAGAACAACAAUUUGAUACGCCAACUGCAUGUCCAUCUGUAAUCAAAGAACACCAUGGUGGAAAUGUUUGUAGGUGUAAACCACCUAUCUAUCUGUUGAAGCAAUGACAAUCAUUAGAGAUCGUCAUGCUUCCACUAGAGGUGAGGUAGACGGAAAACUGCAAGGAAGAAGAGGAACCUACAUAGGAUUCUGAUGCCAGAUGCAGAUAGAGAGCAUGAGCUUUUGCUUCAAUUAGCUUUGGAUCUCUGGUAUGAAGAUGAACCCAUAUGCUUUUCGACAUCCCACCUUUCUCCUCUUAGGAAACCAGCAGCGUCGCAUGUGGUCUGCGGGUUGAAAUCCUCUGUAGCGACCACACCACUCGGUUGCAUCAGCCUUCACCAUGCAAGGUGUUCAUUAGUCGUCCCUCAACAAGUUCCACAUUACCAUGCACUUCUGCCACUAUGCGGAUUAAACUAAAACAAGAGAAAGAGAUUUGAAGCUUUCCUUGACAUCUCUCUGAGUGUUUGGUGCUUAAUUGUACUCUUGAGUUCAACAUGAUAAUGGAGUGGGAUCUGAGCAUUUUCUGCUAUGCAAGUCUCGACAUUUCGUUACGUUAUUUGUCUGCAACAGAGAAGAAGAGGAAAAGGGGAGUUUUUGUGGUCUGAGAAUAAUGGGAUUCGUUGAGGCGAUGAGGACGGCGAAGGUGUAUGUGUUUGUGAUGCUGCGCAGUAUGGGUACGCCGGGAUGAACCACCUUCGUGCUGGUGGUGCACAGAAAUGCCAUUGCUGCUUUUGUCAUUGAACCCUUUGCACUCUGGUUUGAGAGGCACUCUCUCUCUCUCUCUAGAGAGAGAGAAAUUAAGCUGAUAGCUGAGGUGCAUGGAUAGUCUUUAGAUGACAACAAGAUACAUUAUAGGUUAUUCUUCUAUAUAUGUAUAUAUUUAUACAUAUACAUAUAUAUACAUAUAUAUACACAUAUACAUAUAUAUAUAUAUAUAUAUAUAUAUAUAUAUAUAUAUAUAUAUAUAAUACUGAUUAUAGAAAUCUUAAAAUACUUACGGCGCUGAGUUGACCACGUGUCAUAUUAUCAUGGUCUUCCCACGAGGCACUCGUGUUCGAGUCCAAACACCUGAUCCGACCAGUAUCAGCUUUGCAAGUUGGCCCCCUUUAG